rnacentral:rRNA from 1 species
GACGAACGCUGGCGGCGUGCUUAACACAUGCAAGUCGAACGGAAAGGCCCUGCUUUUGUGGGGUGCUCGAGUGGCGAACGGGUGAGUAACACGUGAGUAACCUGCCCUUGACUUUGGGAUAACUUCAGGAAACUGGGGCUAAUACCGGAUAGGAGCUCCUGCUGCAUGGUGGGGGUUGGAAAGUUUCGGCGGUUGGGGAUGGACUCGCGGCUUAUCAGCUUGUUGGUGGGGUAGUGGCUUACCAAGGCUUUGACGGGUAGCCGGCCUGAGAGGGUGACCGGCCACAAUGGGACUGAGAUACGGCGCAGACUCCUACGGGAGGCAGCAGUGGGGAAUAUUGCACAAUGGGCGGAAGCCUGAUGCAGAAACGCCGCGUGCGGGAUGACGGCCUUCGGGUUGUAAACCGCUUUCGCCUGUGACGAAGCGUGAGUGACGGUAAUGGGUAAAGAAGCACCGGCUAACUACGUG